rnacentral:rRNA from 1 species
CCUACGGGAGGCAGCAGUGAGGAAUAUUGGUCAAUGGGCGCGAGCCUGAACCAGCCAAGUAGCGUGAAGGAUGACUGCCCUAUGGGUUGUAAACUUCUUUGAUAGGGGAAUAAAGUGCAGUAGGUAUACGGCUUUGCAUGGACCUUAUGAAUAAGGAGCGGCUAACUCCGUGCCAGCAGCCGCGGUAAUACGGAGGAUCCGAGCGUUCUCCGGAUUUAUUGGGUUGAACGGGAGCGUAGGCGGGUUGUUAAGUCAGUUGUGAAAGUUCGCGGCUCAACCGUAAAAUUGCAGUUGAUACGGGCAUCCUUGAGUACAGUAGAGGUAGGCGGACUUC